GGGUCAAUGAUGAGAGCUCAUAAUGUCUUGAAGACAGAUGAUGAUGCUCACUAGGAUUACACUGAGGCUC
rnacentral:snoRNA from 3 species